rnacentral:rRNA from 1 species
UACGUAGGGGUCUAGCGUUGUCCGGAAUUAUUGGGCGUAAAGAGCUCGUAGGCGGUUCGGCAAGUCGGAUGUGAAAUCUCCACGCUUAACGUGGAGGGGCCAUUCGAAACUGCCGUGACUCGAGUCCGGUAGGGGAGUGUGGAAUUCCCGGUGUAGCGGUGAAAUGCGCAGAUAUCGGGAAGAACACCCGUGGCGAAGGCGGCUCUCUGGGACGGUACUGGACGCUGAGACGCGAAAGCGUGGGGAGCGAACAGG